GCGGAGCGACGGGUGGCCGCCCGGCUGGUCCGUCUGCGGAGGCUGUGCUGGGACUGCAGCGACGGCCCUCAAAAGUCCGAGUUUCUGUGGGUUUCCUCAGGAGCUUUCCGGCAUUGGCCAAGCUUUGAAAGAGCUUUAGGAACGAUAAAGAACUAAUAGAAACUUAAAGUAGUAUCACCCUCGCUUGACUGAAAUUUUGUGUGGAAACUAAGCUCAACGUGUCUGAGAUAAGGAAACUGAGGCAUAGAAAAAUAACGUGUCAAAUAGAGGCUUCCAGCCAGGAUCAAAUACAAUUACCAGUACAAACAGAAAAACCAACAGAAGAAAAAAGAAAACAAAUGAUUUUUGACCUAUUGCUUAUCAGGUGCUUCAGGAGGAAGACAAAGAGAUGCCUGUGAUCUUUCAUCUUGAGGACCUUGGACGUUUCCUAACAGAAAUGAGCCAGCAGUGCUUUUUUACAGCCAGCAGGCAGGGAGUUUCCAAAGGCAGGACAGGGAGCAGUUAAAGAGGCAGAGUUUCACCCCAAGCAGUGAGCGUGGCACCAUCCAGCUCCCUCUCCGGGAACCGUACUCAGCAUCUCAGCAUCAAGCUGCCAGAGCUCUGAACUGUGCCUGGAAGGAAGUAAGAAAUGGGGAAGGAGAUUGGUCUCAAAGGACAGUGUGAUUUGGAAUCCAUCUGGAGUUGUUUAAUGUGUAUGGUGUGAGUACCUUGAUCUUCAUUUGAGGAAUCCACCUCUCCCCAUGCAGCCCAGGUGCUUCCAGAGAAGCUGACCUACUCCCUGUGCCAAAAUAAAUUAUCAAGCAAGGAAACAGGAAAUCUUGGUCAAAUUUCCGGCCCAGGGUCCACAACAUAGAGAUUAGGACCUUGGGAGAAGCAGAUCCAGCAAACAGGAAACAAGGUAAGGAACAAAAAGAGAUCAGAAUCCAAGUCAUCAAAGGUAUGACACUAGAGGUUGGAGUCAAAGGGAAUAGGGGAAAACAUUUAGGUUCAAGAAGUAGCGUUUGAAAAGGGGCUUAUCAGUGGAGACUUCAAGAAUAUCUGGUUGUAUUUGUUCACCCUAACCUGGUUUGUAGGUGAGCAAUCGUUGCCCUGCCUACUUCCCAAAAGGAUUCUGACCUUUAAUGAAUAUAACGAACUAUAUUUUAAAACAGAAAUACCCUCAAUUUUAUGUUAAGCAUUCGUUAAAAUAAGUCACAUAAUAAAGAUGAUCUGUGUCACAAGCCUGGCCCUUUAAAUGAGUCCUGAAAUGACUGGAGAGCUCUAUUACCUUCUUGUUAGGACAAGAUGGAUUGCAAGUAGUGUUCCCCAGCCCCCCACACCCCCAAAUUACAAGCUUCUAUGCUAAAAGCUAUCCACCUUUGAUGAGUAUCUCUUAAUUGUUUACUUUUUAACUAAGGGUUUUUAACUAGGGCUAUUAGAACUCUAGAGGGUGUUUAAUCUGUUGAUCUGUUUGUUUUCAAGUCUGACUCCUUUCAUUUGUGAUCCUAGGUAAGUAGUAGCUUGGAGGGUUUUACUUAUACAAAAAGAUCAGUUCACUAAUUUUCAAUUUCCGUAAGUGUAAAUUUCUAGUGUCAGAGGCUGUCUUGAAAUGGGGGAGGGGAAGUUAUGAGAAUGGAUUGGGUAAGAAUCCCCAAUGUUUUCAUAUCCCCAAAUCUUGACCUCCACACCAACGCCCCUUCUCCAGCUCUGUAGUAAACAAAAACACUAACAUUUUCUCAACAGUUAUUUUAUAAAUAAAUCUAAGUGCUGACCUUAAUUAUUCACUAAAUAGAAAUGACAGUGGCAGGAGCCCCAUAGAGCCAAUGUCAUUUGACAUUGUUGACACAUGUAUGAGGCUUAUCACCCUUUUCUCUCUAGAGCAGCAUUUGGAGAGUGAAUGUCCAUCAUCUGUGUGGAUAAUCUGUUUGGCAAUAUAGCUUUUUUGGAAAAUAAAACAGAAAACUGAAUUUUUUUUUCUCCUUUAGAAGAAAAGUUUGCUUUUUGCGUUUUUUUCUAGUACUUUACUUCUUUAGAGCAGUUUUGGAUUCACAGCAAAAUUGAACAAAAAGUAUAGAUAGUUCCCAUUACCCCCUGUCACCACACGUGCAUAGCCUCCCCCAUUAUUAACAUUCCCCAUCAGAGUGAUACAUUUGUUACAGGUGAUGAACCUACAUUGACACAUCAUUAUCACCCAAAGUCCAUAGUUUACAUCAGGGUUCACUCUUGGUAUUGCACAUUCUAUGUGUUUGGACAAAUAUAUAAUGACAUGAAUCCACCAUCAUAGUAUCAUACAGAGCAGUUUCACUGCCCUAAAAAUCAUAUGUGCUCUGCCCAUUCAUCCCUCCCUCCACCCUAACUCCUGGCAACCAUUAAUCUUCUUGCCAUCUCCAUAGUUUUAACUUUUUCAGAAUGUCAUAAAGUUGGAAUCACACAGUGUGUAGUCUUUUCAUAUUGGCUUUUUUUUUUUCUUUUUGGCUGCACCGCGCAGCAUGUGGGAUCUUAGUUCUCUGACGAUUGAUUGAACCCAUGCCCCCUGCACUGGAAGCACGGAGUCUUAACCACUGGACCACCAGGGAAGUCCCCAUAUUGGCUUCUUUCACUUACUAAUGUACAUUUAAAGUUCUUCUAUGUCUUUUCACAGCUUGAUAGAUCAUUUCUUUUUAGUGCUGAAUAAUAUUCCAUUACCUGGAUAUACCACAUAUUUAUGCAUUCACCUACUGAAGGAUAUCUUGAUUGCUUCCAAGUUUUGUCAAUUAUGGGUAAAGCUGCUAUAAACAUCUGUGUGCAGGUUUUUGUGUGGACAUAAGUUUUCAAUUCCCUUGGGUAAAUACCAAGGAGUGUGAUUGCUGGAUCAUAUAUAUGGUAAGAGUAUAGUUAGUUUUGUAAAAAACUGCGAAACUGUCUUUCAAAGAAGCUGUACCAUUUUGCAUUCCCACCAGCAAUGAAUAAAAAUUCCUUUUGCUCCACAUCCUCACCAGCAUUUGGUGCUGACAGUGUUCUGCAUUUUGGCCAUUCUCAUAGGUAUGUAGUGGGUCUACUUAUCUUUGCAGUUUUUAUCCUUGUCCACCUCUCCACCCUCAUCAUUCCUUACAAUAGCUUAUCUUUUUCAGAAAGACCCAUGGAAUUUGAGAGCUGGGCUGUAGGUGGCACAAACUAAGCAACACUAGACACAUGAUAGAGGGAAAGAUUGAGAAAGGACUGGCUCAAGUCAUGUGGGAGACCUGGGAAAAGGAACAAGCUGGCACCCCCUCAAGCUAAUAUUCUUUAAAUAGCUGAGGGCAGAAAAAAAUUCAUUUUCUAUUAAUAUAAAAUGUAUAGCUCGUUAUGGUUAAAAUAAAGAAUUUAUUACAUGCAUUGAAUAUAACAAUAUUUCCACUUAUUUGGAAUUGUCUUUCAUUUUACAUCACCUGGAACUUGAAUAGCAAUAUUACUACUCAUCAAGCAUAGAGGUAAAUUACAGCCACAAAGUCUUACUCAAAAUAUACUGAAUAUUACAAG